GAUGAACGCUAGCGGGAGGCUUAACACAUGCAAGUCGUGGGGCAGCACGGGGUAGCAAUACUCUGGUGGCGACCGGCGCACGGGUGAGUAACGCGUAUGCAACCUACCCAGUACAGGGGGAUAGCCCGGAGAAAUUCGGAUUAAUACCCCAUAAUGAUAUUAAGAGGCAUCUUUUAAUAUUUAAAGCUUCGGCGGUACUGGAUGGGCAUGCGUAAGAUUAGCUAGUUGGUAGGGUAACGGCCUACCAAGGCUCCGAUCUUUAGGGGUCCUGAGAGGGUGUUCCCCCACACUGGUACUGAGACACGGACCAGACUCCUACGGGAGGCAGCAGUGAGGAAUAUUGGUCAAUGGGCGCAAGCCUGAACCAGCCAUCCCGCGUGAAGGAAGAAGGCGCUAUGCGUUGUAAACUUCUUUUCCGGAGGAAUAAAAUCUUGUACGCGUACAGGACUGAAGGUACUCCGGGAAUAAGCAUCGGCUAACUCCGUGCCAGCAGCCGCAGUAACAC
rnacentral:rRNA from 1 species